GUGUUGUACCAAAGGAGAGAAGGCUAGCAUUCCGCUUGACAAGGAUGGAAGGGACUCUCAGGCCUGACAGCAUGCAUGUGGCUGAGGCAUUACCACUUACUUCGUGGCAUCGAACCACUGUUUUUA